rnacentral:rRNA from 1 species
AGUGGGGAAUAUUGGACAAUGGGCGAAAGCCUGAUCCAGCAAUGCCGCGUGAGUGAUGAAGGCCCUAGGGUUGUAAAGCUCUUUUACCCGGGAAGAUAAUGACUGUACCGGGAGAAUAAGCCCCGGCUAACUCCGUGCCAGCAGCCGCGGUAAUACGGAGGGGGCUAGCGUUGUUCGGAAUUACUGGGCGUAAAGCGCACGUAGGCGGCUUUGUAAGUCAGAGGUGAAAGCCUGGAGCUCAACUCCAGAACUGCCUUUGAGACUGCAUCGCUUGAAUCCAGGAGAGGUCAGUGGAAUUCCGAGUGUAGAGGUGAAAUUCGUAGAUAUUCGGAAGAACACCAGUGGCGAAGGCGGCUGACUGGACUGGUAUUGACGCUGAGGUGCGAAAGCGUGGGGAGCAAA